AUCAUAGAGGCUCCUCUGAGAUGACAGCUGCCUCCUCCUCCCCCGCACUCCCGCCGCCCCGUCUUCUCUUCGUCCCGCCUCGCCCCUCUCUCUCCCUCCAAACCCUACCCCGCGCACGCCUCCCUACCCCGCCGCCAUCUCCUUCGCCGCCGGGAGCUCGCCCGGGAUGACUGCCGCGGGGUUCCUGGUGGGCUUCCUCCUCGGCCUGCUCGCGCUCACGGAGGCCGAGGCGGCCGCGCUGCUCUGGUUCGUGCUCCGCCUCCGCCGCCGGCGAGGCUCCGGUGGACUCGGACGGCUCCUCUCCGUCUCCUCCCUCGCCCCCACGUGUGGUUCCGCUUCCCGCUGGCCACGAGGUGCAGCCUUGCAGGGGCGCAUCGGGCUGGGCCUCUGUUUCCGGUUAGUUCAUCCCCCUCCUCCUCCUCUCCGAUCUGCUCUGGUUCUCGCCCUCUCCUCUUCUUCCUUCUCUCUCAGAUAUGGUGCAGCAGCUGCUGUGGGGUUGAGGUGUUCUGGCAACGGUAGGAGCUCCGGGCCCGUCCAGGUCUGGUGCUCCAUCUAUGCUGAUUUUCAGAAACUGUUGCCCAGAGAGAUCUCCAUGAAGCAUUGCGCCUGAUGCAGAUGUCAAAGUAUUCAAUCUACUCUGAUGACCACCAGCGGUGUAGUCUUGGUACAUAUACUGCAUCCUGAGAGAUAAAGCAGCAAGGACUAGCAGCAUGGAUGUGAAAUAUGGUCAUGCUCUUAACCUGAUCUCCAGAAAGAUUCAAACUACUCUCCUGUGAGGAUUUGUUCUGCUAUACAUUUUCCUUUCAUUUCCCAUCCAGGUUGUGUUCAAAUGAUAGGUGGCAUUGCAAAUUAUGACCAGUUUAAAUGUUGUUUAGUGAGCCUCCAUCUGCCAAUUGGAAAUAAACUGAGGGACCUGAAGUUUCAUCUAUUAGGAGAAGCCGGUGCUUGUGCGGGUUGCCGGAUUAAUCAAGAUGGAAGCUGAUGCAAUAAGAGUCCCAUCGGUACCAUUGCCUGUGACCAUGAUGCAGACAUUCACUCUAGGAUUUGAGAUUUUCUUUUCUCAUCCCCUACGAUAAAUUAUAGUUCAAGGAGUGAAUUCAUCCACGUCUACAUAUUUUCAUAUUUUGUUGUGUUUUGGCAUAACCAUUAUCUGAUUUGAGUUUUUGUAAGCGUGCUGAAGUCUUAUUGAUUGUGUUCCUGCAAAUAAACAUGAUCACCAAAUGGGCGUCUUCUGAAAAUUAAGAGAAUUAACUAAUUGUAUAUGCUAUUUAUUUGUGUUCUUUUUGUAAGAUUCAGAUGAUGCACACUUGAAUAUGAAUGAAGGAUGUGUCCUUGGCUAUUGGGC
rnacentral:rRNA from 1 species